rnacentral:rRNA from 1 species
AUGCCUUAGUUACGGCGAGUGAAGCGGCAAAAGCUCAAAUUUGAAAUCUGGUACCUUCGGUGCCCGAGUUGUAAUUUGGAGAGGGCAACUUUGGGGCCGUUCCUUGUCUAUGUUCCUUGGAACAGGACGUCAUAGAGGGUGAGAAUCCCGUGUGGCGAGGAGUGCGGUUCUUUGUAAAGUGCCUUCGAAGAGUCGAGUUGUUUGGGAAUGCAGCUCUAAGUGGGUGGUAAAUUCCAUCUAAAGCUAAAUAUUGGCGAGAGACCGAUAGCGAACAAGUACAGUGAUGGAAAGAUGAAAAGAACUUUGAAAAGAGAGUGAAAAAGUACGUGAAAUUGUUGAAAGGGAAGGGCAUUUGAUCAGACAUGGUGUUUUGUGCCCUCUGCUCCUUGUGGGUAGGGGAAUCUCGCAUUUCACUGGGCCAGCAUCAGUUUUGGUGGCAGGAUAAAUCCAUAGGAAUGUAGCUUGCCUCGGUAAGUAUUAUAGCCUGUGGGAAUACUGCCAGCUGGGACUGAGGACUGCGACGUAAGUCAAGGAUGCUGGCAUAAUGGUUAUAUGCCGCCCGUCUUGAACCACGGACCAAA